ensembl:lncRNA
ACCCAAAUCAAGAGUUGGGUGCUUUGGGGCGCCUGGGUGGCGCAGUCGGUUAAGCGUCCGACUUCAGCCAGGUCACGAUCUCGCGGUCCAGGAGUUCGAGCCCCACGUCGGGCUCUGGGCUGAUGGCUCAGAGCCUGGAGCCUGUUUCCGAUUUUGUGUCUCCCUCUCUCUCUGCCCCUCCCCUGUUCAUGCUCUGUCUCUCUCUGUCCCCAAAAUAAAUAAACGUUGAAAAAAAAAUUUAAGAGUUGGGUGCUUAACCGACUGAGCCACCCAGGCACCCCGACAAUAAACUUUUUGAAAAUACGGACGAGAAGUCUUCUAUGGAAAACCAUGUCGUAAAUAAUAAACUCUUGAAAAGAAAGUGUCCAUGAACUUAAGGGUGUGUGUAAUAUUGUCUCCCUGAAUCUUAAGGCAUCAGGAAGUAGGUUUUUAAAUUUGGAAAAAUGUAUGCACCAUAGCAGCUUGUGCUGCAUCAGAGGAUAAGCCUCAGUGCUUGGCUCUGCUCUAUUUUUAUUUCCAUUAUGGGUUGAGGAACCAGGACUGUGUAGGUAAAGAGUUGGCUUCCCCUUGGACCAUGCCGGAAGCAAUGGGUGCGGGAUGGGCGGGGGUGAAGAGAGGUGCCGGGAAGGCAGUGGGAGUCUUGGGAAGGAACCAAGACCUUGCCUUCCCUCCUUUCCACUCCUGACACUGUCCUUUACGAUCACAGCCCCCCCCAGCAAAACGCAGAAGCGAGAGGAAACCCUGAAGACCCACGGUGGGUGCGGAAUUCUUGUGGGGGAGGGGAUCGCUCCUGCUUUUGCCGCAAAGGACAGGAGGUAGACCCCGGCACUGUGUCGAUUCUAGCAGAAGAGGCACAUUUUUCUGGGUCCUGGCUCUGAGUGUGCGUGUGCGAGGAGUGGAGGUGAGGUGGGGGAAGCCACGCGAAAUACCCAAAUGAAUGUAAGGCCGUUUGGAAAGUUCCCUAAGAGGUGAAAGCAGGUGUACUUUUGCUGUAGGUAUUCAGGAGACGUAACGCUAAGGCCCUAGCAGGGACGCUAUAAAAUGAGUUAAUUGCUUUACUCCCCUGCAUUUCCUUCCCUAUGGAGUAGCUGGAGGCCCUCACCAGCACACAUUCCAGCACAGUUAAGGUCAUGUCCCUGUGUGAGCCAGCUGUCAGCGGGGCUCCUGCCCUUGGGGAUCUGGUCAGACUUGACUGGAAUCCUUAUUCCAAGUGUUUUUUUCAUCAAAGGUCACUCUUACACGGACUGUUCUUGAGUUUGGUAGAUUUUUCAGGGACUAGAAGGAUUUCUAGAGACAGAUUAUUCUCUCUCCCCACCCCCCCCUUUUUUUAAAAUUUGAAUGCAGGGGCGCCUGGGUGGCGCAGUCGGUUAAGCGUCCCACUUCAGCCAGGUCACGAUCUCGCGGUCCGUGAGUUCGAGCCCCGCGUCAGGCUCUGGGCUGAUGGCUCGGAGCCUGGAGCCUGUUUCCGAUUCUGUGUCUCCCUCUCUCUCUGCCCCUCCCCCGUUCAUGCUCUGUCUCUCUCUGUCCCAAAAAUAAAUGAAAAAAAAAAUUUAAAUUUGAAUGUUAG